rnacentral:rRNA from 1 species
GAUGAACGCUGGCGGCGUGCUUAACACAUGCAAGUCGAACGAAGCACUUUAUUUGAUUUCCUUCGGGACUGAUUAUUUUGUGACUGAGUGGCGGACGGGUGAGUAACGCGUGGGUAACCUGCCUUGUACAGGGGGAUAGCAGUUGGAAACGGCUGCUAAUACCGCAUAAGCGCACGGCAUCGCAUGAUGCAGUGUGAAAAACUCCGGUGGUAUAAGAUGGACCCGCGUUGGAUUAGCUAGUUGGUGAGGUAACGGCCCACCAAGGCGACGAUCCAUAGCCGACCUGAGAGGGUGACCGGCCACAUUGGGACUGAGACACGGCCCAAACUCCUACGGGAGGCAGCAGUGGGGAAUAUUGCACAAUGGGCGAAAGCCUGAUGCAGCGACGCCGCGUGAGCGAAGAAGUAUUUCGGUAUGUAAAGCUCUAUCAGCAGGGAAGAUAAUGACGGUACCUGACUAAGAAGCACCGGCUAAAUACGUG